rnacentral:misc_RNA from 1 species
AGAAAGUCUGAGUGUCCCCGAGAGCUUGAACCUGCAGACAGGAGGUCCUCCGUUCAUGUGAAUUUAAUUAGGAGGAUGGAGGAGUAUCGUGAGCCAGAGAAGCCACGUCUUCCAUUUCAAGGUGUAGGAAGAACUCUUGGUGGUAGCGCCCCAACUCAAGUGGCAAAUGAGCCAACUGCUACUCCCACCAAUGUCAAUAGCAGUCCAAGCCCUUCUGCAGGUCUCGUCGUGGAUGAAUCGUUGCCAUCAACCUCAAUUCAGCUUAGGUUGGCAGAUGGAACACGCAUGGUAGCUCAUUUCAAUUACCAUCACACAAUCAGUGAUGUUCGUGCGUUCAUUGAUGCAUCUAGGCCGGGGGGUGCCAGGAACUAUCAGCUGCAGUUGAUGGGUUUCCCUCCCAAGCUUCUUAACGACGUGGCUCAGACAAUCGAGCAAGCUGGUCUUGCCAAUUCUGUCGUCAUUCAGAAGUUUUAGCAACUAAGAUAAGCUUUCUUUGACACCAUUAUUAAAAGGUGAUGAAACAUAAAAAACAUUCUACCAAUGAAAUGGUUUCUCAGAUUGGGAAAAUUUGUGAUGCAUAUUCGAAGUAGCCCAGGUCUUUUGAAUAUCAUCAGUCUUUCAGUCCUUAGAGAGAGGAUGCUGGGUGUCUA